CCGGUCUUAAACGGUCGCAGCUGCUGUGCGAAGGUAGCAUAAAGGUCGCCCUUUAAUUGUGGAAAGUAUGAAUGGUCGGAUGUUGGAAAGUCUUUAUUAAAAAUUGUUGAAUUUUACUUUCUAGUGCAAAGGCUGGAAUAAUGUUAUUAGACGAGAAGACCCUGUUGAGCUUGUUGUUUUUUCGGGGUUGAAAGGAAGGGAAAUAAGAUAAGAUCCAAUAUGGUUGAUUUGAAGAAGAAGUUACCACAGGGAUAACAGCGCAAUUUUGAUAAGGUCAUAUUUAAGGAAAGGUUUGCGACCUCGAUGUUGAAUCAGAAUUUCUACUAGGUGUAGCAGCUUGGAAAGUAGGACUG
rnacentral:rRNA from 1 species